UUCUGGUGUGCCCUGCAUGGUUCUUCAUCCUGUUUCGGCAGAAUGAAGCUAAGAGGGAAGUCCGGUGCAAGACCGACGCUGCCCCCGCAACUGUAAGUGGUGAGUUGCCAAUCGCCCGUAUGUCACUGGAGACAGUUCGUUUCCGGGAAGACUGAUUGGCCACGAUGACCCAUGAGCCAGGAGACCUGCCGUGCAUGUUUUCAACCA
rnacentral:ncRNA from 2 species